rnacentral:rRNA from 1 species
AAUGAACGUUGGCGGCGUGGAUUAGGCAUGCAAGUCGUGCGAGAAGCCCCUUUCGGGGGGUGGACAGCGGCGAAAGGGAGAGUAACGCGUGGAUAACCUACCCCCGGGACCGGGAUAGCUGCGGGAAACUGCGGGUAAUACCGGAUAAUGUCCCCGGACCAAAGGUGUGAUUCCGCCUGGGGAUGGGUCCGCGGCCUAUUAGCUUGUUGGUGGGGUAAUGGCCUACCAAGGCAACGAUGGGUACCGGGCGUGAGAGCGUGACCCGGCUCACUGGGACUGAGACACUGCCCAGACACCUACGGGAGGCUG